GAUUAACGCUAGCGGCAGGCCUAAUACAUGCAAGUCGAACGGCAGCACGGGUAGCAAUACCUGGUGGCGAGUGGCGCACGGGUGCGUAACGCGUAUGCAAUCUACCUGUAACUGGGGAAUAGCCUUCCGAAAGGAAGAUUAACACCGCAUAAAAUCACGAAGCGGCAUCGUUUUGUGAUCAAAUCUCCGGAGGUUACAGAUGAGCAUGCGUGACAUUAGCUAGUUGGUGGGGUAACGGCCCACCAAGGCUACGAUGUCUAGGGGGUCUGAGAGGAUGA
rnacentral:rRNA from 1 species